UUGACUGUGCUAAGGUAGCAUAAUAAAUUGGCUUUUAAUUGAAGUCGGGAAUGAAAGGGUGUUUGGAGUUAUCCUGUCUUAUUUUUAUUUUUUAAAAAUUAUUAAUGGGGUGAAAAUUCCUCAAUUUUAUCUGAUAGACGAGAAGACCCUAAGAAUUAUUACAACCAUUAAAAUAAUUUAAUAAAAGUUUUUGUUGGGGCAACAACUUUGGAAGUAAAUAACCAAAGUAGAUUGAUUUAUAUUAUAGUAUAAAAAGAUUAUAUUAACAAUGAAUUUAAUUACCUUAGGGAUAACAGCAUAAUUAUAUUUUAGAUUGUGACCUCGAUGUUGGAUUAAGGCCU
rnacentral:rRNA from 1 species